UCCGGGGUUUCCCCGGCAGUCCCCUAUGAGUGCCCGGCAUCACCCGCUGGCAACAUAGGACGAGGGUUGCGCUCGUUACGGGACUUAACCCAACAUCUCACGACACGAGCUGACGACAGCCAUGCAGCACCUGUCACCUGGUUCCCGAAGGCACACCCGUAUCUCUACAGGCUUCCGGGGAUGUCAAGAGUAGGUAAGGUUCUUCGCGUUGCGUCGAAUUAAACCACAUGCUCCACCGCUUGUGCGGGCCCCCGUCAAUUCAUUUGAGUUUUAGCCUUGCGGCCGUACUCCCCAGGCGGGGCACUUAAUGCGUUAGCUACGGCACGGACGGAGUGGAUAACCGCCCACACCUAGCACCCAUCGUUUACGGCGUGGACUAC
rnacentral:misc_RNA from 1 species